rnacentral:rRNA from 1 species
AUUGAACGCUGGCGGCAGGCUUAACACAUGCAAGUCGGACGGUAACAGGUCUUUCGGGAUGCUGACGAGUGGCGGACGGGUGAGUAAUGCUUGGGAAUCUGUCUGUUAGUGGGGGAUAACUCGGGGAAACCAGGGCUAAUACCGCAUACGUCUUUAGGGGGAAAGCAGGGGAUCGUAAGACCUUGCGCUAAUGAGUGAGCCCAAGUCGGAUUAGUUUGUUGGUGAGGUAAAGGCUCACCAAGACUGCGAUCCGUAGCUGGUCUGAGAGGAUGAUCAGCCACACUGGGACUGAGACACGGCCCAGACUCCUACGGGAGGCAGCAGUGGGGAAUAUUGGACAAUGGGCGCAAGCCUGAUCCAGCCAUGCCGCGUGUGUGAAGAAGGUCUUAUGAUUGUAAAGCACUUUAAGUCAGGAGGAAGGUGCGAGGGCUAAUAUCUCUUGUGAUUGACGUACUGACAGAA